AUGGGUGGAGAUCCUGGGGAUGAGGCAGGAAGAGGCCAGUUUGAGGAAGCUUCAACAGUAGAAGGUCUAGUUGGCUUCGUCACGGCAGUCGUGGGCGGUUUGGGGUCCUUGAAGGUAGCAGGGAUGCCACAGUUUUUUAUGAAAAAAUGUUUUUGGGGACCCAUCACAGCUGCUGCACUACAGAUGACGGGACCUUCUACCUAUACGGUCAGAGUUGGGUCUAUUGCUCACAUUCCCUGCACAUUCACAGCAGAUAAACUUCCUGCAGAGACCAAGUUUUUUGCAGUUGUUUGGUAUUUAGAAGGAAAGAUUAUCCUAACCUUUGAUAAUACCGUAACAUCACCUGACCCCAGAUAUUCACUGGAAGAAGAUCGAGCAUUAAAUGGAAAUGCUGAUCUGACCAUAUCUAACACAUCUGUAUCAGACGGUGGAGAUUACACAUGUUCUGUGACCUACAGUCCGCUCCGAAUGGAGAAGAAGAUCAGAGUGGACAUUACAGCAAUACCAACUAUUACAAUGGUUAACAAAGUUGUCACUAUGAGCACCAAGAGCAGCUUGAACAGUACAAUUUCUGGAUUCUACCCGGCAAAGAUUGAUAUUAAAUGGCUCCGAGAUGGAGAGAUAUUGAAUAACGUUGCAGUGGAAGAACUUCAGAGAGACCCGGAUGGAACAUACAGAGUGAAGAGCUCAGUAAUAAUAACACCCACUGAGGAGGACAGAGAGCGGACCUUCUCCUGUAGAGUCCAACAUGAGUCUCUUACUGCACCUCUCCAGGAGGACUUCCGGCUGGUGUAUUCAGCCCGACCUCUCAUCUUCAUACCUAGCAAGAGGGUCCACAGAAAUAUAGAGAACACCCUGACCUGUAUGGUCUCUGGAUUCUUCCCAAGUGAUAUUGUUGUAACGUGGUAUAAAGAUGGAGAAGUUCUGAAGGAUCCGCUCAUGGGAAAGCCACACAAAAAUGACAAUGGAACCUUCCAAGUGAACAGCACUGUGACAAUCACACCAAUCGAUGAUGACCAGAACAAAACUUUCUCCUGCAGAGUCCAGCACGUAUCUCUACAAGAACCUCUACAGGAGGACUUCCAGCUCAGCUAUCAAGAGUCAUCAUCUCUUGUGUUCAUUCUCUGUAUUGUUGUUCCGGCUGGGCCGAUAAUUGCAGCUGUAAUCAUUGGAAUCAUUUUGUGGAAGCGGAAACACCGGAGGAAAGCUGCUGAGAGAGCAUCCAACUACAGCACAGAUACAAUAGGGGAGGAGGAGAGAGAUGGACGACAAGACUGUGACCAUGACAAGUCAAAUUGGCACAAGGAGGAAGCGGAAAAACUUUUGAGCCCAAACAAAGAUACUUUGGGGUCUGCUUAUAACCAAUUCACAGAGCCAUUCGACCUAUGA